rnacentral:lncRNA from 14 species
UACACUGAAUUAAAAGGCAUAUUCUUUACUUUUAUCAGUAAGGUGCUGGGAACAUUUUGAGCAAUGCCCUCCUCUCCUGUGUAUUGUGACAGUGGAUCAAUGGAAGGAAACCUGAGCCCAAACUACCUGCCUGCAGACUUCUCCAAAAUGUCUUAGCAGCCCAAACUUCAAAAAAGGAUGAUAGUUCUGUUAUGGUCUUCUCCCAGAAGCUGUGUCAGUCUUGCCACUUUCGUAACUAAAAGGAGGAAAGCAGGUCCUCAGGGUCACAGGCAUGGGUGGAAAAGCCUGUGACCACCAGGAUAUGUGUGCAGAGCUGAUGACCUUUGAGGUGGAAAUUGUCUUGCUGGCUCUGCCUCACCAUGAGGCUGAAAAACAGCAUCUUGACAACAGCACAACUCUCCAGCCAUGGUGUGCUGCUGAUAGAGCUGGCUGCUGCCUAUUCAAGGCUCAGCUUCUUGGGAAUUAA